AGUGAACGCUGGCGGUAGGCCUAACACAUGCAAGUCGAACGGCAGCACAGUAAGAGCUUGCUCUUACGGGUGGCGAGUGGCGGACGGGUGAGGAAUACAUCGGAAUCUACUUUUUCGUGGGGGAUAACGUAGGGAAACUUACGCUAAUACCGCAUACGACCUACGGGUGAAAGCAGGGGAUCUUCGGACCUUGCGCGAUUGAAUGAGCCGAUGUCGGAUUAGCUAGUUGGCGGGGUAAGGGCCCACCAAGGCGACGAUCCGUAGCUGGUCUGAGAGGAUGAUCAGCCACACUGGAACUGAGACACGGUCCAGACUCCUACGGGAGGCAGCAGUGGGGAAUAUUGGACAAUGGGUGCAAGCCUGAUCCAGCCAUACCGCGUGGGUGAAGAAGGCCUUCGGGUUGUAAAGCCCUUUUGUUGGGAAAGAAAAGCAGCAGGUUAAUACCCCGCUGUUCUGACGGUACCCAAAGAAUAAGCACCGGCUAACUUCGUG
rnacentral:rRNA from 1 species